UGGGGAAUUUUCCGCAAUGGGCGAAAGCCUGACGGAGCAACGCCGCGUGAGGGAUGAAGGCCUCUGGGCUGUAAACCUCUUUUAUCAAGGAAGAAGAUCUGACGGUACUUGAUGAAUAAGCCACGGCUAAUUCCGUGCCAGCAGCCGCGGUAAUACGGGAGUGGCAAGCGUUGUCCGGAAUUAUUGGGCGUAAAGCGUCCGCAGGCGGCCCUUCAAGUCUGCUGUUAAAAAGUGGAGCUUAACUCCAUCGUGGCAGUGGAAACUGAGGGGCUUGAGUGUGGUAGGGGCAGAGGGAAUUCCCGGUGUAGCGGUGAAAUGCGUAGAUAUCGGGAAGAACACCAGUGGCGAAGGCGCUCUGCUGGGCCAUCACUGACGCUCAUGGACGAAAGCCAGGGGAGCGAAAGGGAUUAGAUACCCCUGUAGUC
rnacentral:rRNA from 1 species